rnacentral:tRNA from 1 species
ACCGGCAGGUUGCGCGCACGGCGGGCCGCCCGCUGGCGUCGGGCGCGCUGUCGAUGCGGGAAGCGGCGCUGUUCCUGGCCGCCCUGCUGCUG